rfam:Dissulfuribacter thermophilus strain S69 contig00003, whole genome shotgun sequence.
CUUCCCCUGCUGUGACCGUGAUCAAACAGGAAGUUCGUUGAGCCAACACCCCGUACAAGGGGGUCUCCGCUUCGCGAGCCGAUGACGGGGAAAACAUCCCUGUCUGACGCCUUGCGGAUGAGACGCCCACCUGACUAGGUCAGGUUCAAUGAACCCUGUAGACACGGCACAAGCGGGGGUAUU